rnacentral:rRNA from 1 species
UACGUAGGGUGCAAGCGUUAAUCGGAAUUACUGGGCGUAAAGCGUGCGCAGGCGGUUGUGCAAGACAGAUGUGAAAUCCCCGGGCUCAACCUGGGAAUUGCACUUGUGACUGCACGGCUAGAGUGUGUCAGAGGGGGGUAGAAUUCCACGUGUAGCAGUGAAAUGCGUAGAGAUGUGGAGGAAUACCGAUGGCGAAGGCAGCCCCCUGGGAUAACACUGACGCUCAUGCACGAAAGCGUGGGGAGCAAACAGG